rnacentral:siRNA from 1 species
AAGCUCCGAUAAUGUAUGAAUAAA